rnacentral:lncRNA from 1 species
CAAAAGAAAUCCUUGAGAUGUUUCCAUUGUUGCUUGGGCCUGGGACCAUCAGUAAGUCUCAAUUCUUAUUGAGCAGAACCUGGCAGCACUGUAGAAUGAAACUGAACCAUACUUACCCUCUCUUUAAACACAAGUGCAUGACCAGCUGAGGGAGCGUUUUGUUGAAUCUUUGACUCAGUCUGAGAACAGAGUCUGGAGAGAAGAGGAAGAAUCCUGCACCCCAUGCAACCCCAGACUCUCUAGAUGGGACUCACAUAUCACUCCGGAGGUGAGAACAGAGGAGAAGCCUAGUUUGGGUGAGUUUUUCCUGAAGCAAAAGGGAAGAGCUUAAUUUC